AUUACUGUAACCCACGAUAGGAGAGUGUGGAUUAUUAGUGCCCGCUACUGGCUGGUUCCCCACAGGUUUGAGUUUGUUACUAUUUCCCACUAAAGGAUUUAGGGACAGAUUUUUCAUUGUAAUCAGGUGCCUACAGAUUGAAAAAUCCCACUAUCGGCAUCUUUAGGUACCAAAAUGCCUUUACAAAUUUGGCUCUUUGCCUUUUCAUUUAAGCAGCAGAGGCUUAUGGUUUAGCUCUGGAGCCCCACCUUUGUCAUCUAAGUGUGACUGCCCCAUUUUGGUAGGACAUUCCUUAGGAAAGUUAGCUCAGUCUUUUUUCAAGCCCUUCAGAGCUGUUGCGACUUCCAAGCACUCACUUUUCUUUCUUCUUUGCCCUUGUCACCAGCAAAAAGGUUUCUGGCUUGCUCUGACUUCUCCAGCCACACUUCUGGACCCCACCCCCCACCUGCCGAUCACUACUGCCCAUCCCCUUUCUCUGAUUAAACUAGUGCCACUCCAGGUGGAAAACUCCUUAAACAUUGAUAUCAUUUUCUCAUGUACCACGAGAAGGCACCAUGGAUUAGUAUUUGGGAUGCCACAGGCAACUAGUUCACAUAGUACUGUACAGCAGAGCUGCUCAA